rnacentral:rRNA from 1 species
AGACCCGAAACCCGGUGAUCUAGCCAUGGGCAGGUUGAAGGUUGGGUAACACUAACUGGAGGACCGAACCGACUAAUGUUGAAAAAUUAGCGGAUGACCUGUGGCUGGGGGUGAAAGGCCAAUCAAACCGGGAGAUAGCUGGUUCUCCCCGAAAGCUAUUUAGGUAGCGCCUCGUGAAUUCAUCUCCGGGGGUAGAGCACUGUUUCGGCUAGGGGGCCAUCCCGGCUUACCAACCCGAUGCAAACUGCGAAUACCGGAGAAUGUUAUCACGGGAGACACACGGCGGGUGCUAACGUCCGUCGUGAAGAGGGAAACAACCCAGACCGCCAGCUAAGGUCCCAAAGUCAUGGUUAAGUGGGAAACGAUGUGGGAAGGCCCAGACAGCCAGGAUGUUGGCUUAGAAGCAGCCAUCAUUUAAAGAAAGCGUAAUAGCUCACUGGUCGAGUCGGCCUGCGCGGAAGAUGUAACGGGGCUAAACCAUGCACCGAAGCUGCGGCAGCGACACUCAGGUGUUGUUGGGUAGGGGAGCGUUCUGUAAGCCUGCGAAGGUGGCCUGUG